UACACUUUCCUUCCGGAGGCUGCAAUGGAUCAGAGAGAAGCGGGCUGGUAGAGGUGGUGUUCUCAGAAACAGCUUUCUUUUAAGUCAGAACAUUAACAGACUGUAAACGAGCGCCACUCUGAGAAGGCCACAGAGACAUGGCUUUGAAAGGAUUUCCUUGGAGCAGCUACGGGACCUUGAAGCUCAGGGCAGCCCCGCCUCCCCGGGCCGCCAUUCUCUUUGGGCAAGCACCAGGGGCACAGGCAGUUCGAGCAGGGGCGGCCCCAGCCCUGCCCUGCUUUGCAGCAGUGCCUUGAAAAGGAGCUGGAGACACACGCAGAUGGGAGGGGGCAGUGCCCAGUUCCUCCACCUGGACACCAGCAGCUCCGGGGAGGCCUGGUCCACGCUGGACUCUGCUUUGUGUCUCACUCUGUUUGUUUUGGGUACUUAGAAAUUGCACGGGCUUGCCAGGGGCCGAGUGUGGGUGCCCCUGCCAACCACGCCUGCUAUGGAGGGCCAGCCUCACCAGGCCGAGAGCUCCGAGGGAGGCAGAGCUGAGGUGUCCCGCCCGGCUGAGGCCGAGGGCGUCUGCAGCCCUGCACAUCUGUAGCUCGGCCCCCUGGGAGUCAGCACGACUCCAUUUUCUUCUCAGCAGUCUUCUGGGGUCGUGAAGAAAAGGCCCCUUGUUUUUUUACCUGACAGCCCUUCACGAUCAGAAGCUUCCGGAACAGCCCCGUGCACCCCUCCUCCCCCACCUCACCGGGUCCUGCUGCUUAACGGGGUCUGCAGGAGACCUCACUGGGGGUCCGGAUGAAGGGGCAGCACGCCCAGGAAAAUCAGCACCCGGAGGGUGGCCAGCGGUGGCAGAGGAGGACACAGGACCAUUCCUAGAAGGGCCAGCCUUCAUUUCACAGGCCGGAAACGGGGCACCUGAGCAGGAAGGCACUCUGCCAAGGUCACAGGGCGAGCUGAGGCCAGCGCCCAGGGCCCAGGGUCCUGACUGGGGGCCCCUUCAGUCUGCUACAACCACAGGUGACUUAUUUAUUUUUAUCCACCUUCCCCAACAACAAGUCCGGCAGAAACAACAGUGCGGAGCAGCCCGGAAGCUGCCACUCCCCACGGCUGAGCUGCUCACGCAGUGGAAAGUUUGGUGCCAAUGCCCUUUGGGAGCCAGGGCCCAGCCCCCCAGCCCCCGGGGAGGCUGCCCCGAGACUGUGUGCACAGACUGCGGGUGCUCCACCCGGGGCCCACGAAGCCCUGCUGGAGGGGUGAGGGCCUCUGGGAGGCUGUGAGCCAACGGGCCCUGUGCAGGCUCAGCUGUCCCCUGGGCCCUGGGACCGGCUUCCACAGGUGGGAGCCCCGUGCCAGGUGGCCACAGAGUUCCUCCAAGGCUGGUGGGGACAUGCUUGGUGAUGGGGGCAGUGGAGGUUCUCCAUGGUCAGGAAAACCACUCACUAUCCGCCUCUGCAGGGCUGAGCUGUGGGGCUUCCUGCAGCAGCCAAGAGUAGGAGGGUCCUGCACACCUUGACCCCGCCCGGGGUCCGAGGCUGGAUCCCUUCCAAUGACCCGGACAGACCCUGAUCAGGCCUCUGUGUUAUCCUGUCCUCAGAUGGGCCAAAGAGGGGUGGGUGGGUGGGUACUUGGGCCUGACCAUCUAUCACCAGCCACUGAAAGCAGAAGCCCACUCCAGGGCUUCCAGGAGACGGCCCGGCCUGCCCCGUGGCCCACCACCGACCGUCCGCCUCCGAACCUUCGGACACAAAGGAACAGACAGAAAUGAUAAGAUACUUUGUGAUGGAGAGAGAAUGGGGAUUGGUAAGCCUUGGAAAAAUUUCCCCACAAAUAACAAGAGGACCCGCAGCGCGGAAUCCAGGCAGGAAGUUGAGCCACUUGCAACGUGGAGCAAAUCAAUGUCAAGAUCAGAGCCGCUUCCCGACAUGUGCCCGCCAGCGCCGAGGGGAAGAGCGCAGGGAUGUGCCUCUCCUCUGAGCAGAGGCGCUGGGGCUGAGCGGUGUGUGCCCGCCACCUGCCAUUCAGUGGGCCACCGCUAACAAGGAGCAAGGAGCCUGCUGCACGCCAAGUGCCUGUGCAGGAAGCUCCGAGAUGGAUCCCUGAGGGGCUGCAGCAGCCACUCGGAGGGAGAUGGAGGAAACCGGAAGAGUAGUCAGAGCCACUACGAAGACGGCUCCUGAGGUCAGGCUCACGUGACUCUCACACUGUGUGGGGGCCCUGCCUGCCCCAGGAGCUGAGGACAUUGGGUCUCAGCCUUCCUGCGACCCACUUGGGCACCCCCUGCUCUCUGAUUGAAAUGCUUUGCUGAGAAGUGAGACCUUUCCUUCCCCCAAAGAAUGGGGAAGGGGAGGGCCACAGGGGAGACUGAAUGUCCACCCCGCACGGCCUCUGGGGAGCCUCGUGCGGCACAGGUGACUCUCACGGCCGCCUGCCAUGGGAGAGUGAAAGGCACGGAACUGGCGGCUGCCGAGUUGAGCUCAUGUGCUGGGCAGGGGCUCAGAGCUGCCCUCCACCUGCAUGACAGCCCCGUGGUAGUGGGUGGAGGGCACGCCGUCCACAAUGGAGGGCAGAGCUAGAAUUUAAACGUGGGUCUUUUUGCUCUGAAAUGUGUCCCAAACACACGCCCCUCUGGGCCACCUGCCCGGGCAACUCGGAGUGUUGUUCUCAGCUCUUCUGUGUCUCCCCAGGGUGGCAAGGUGAGCUGCGAUGUACCUGUGCCAUGAGCAUCCCCCACCCCAGAAGUCCCGAGUCAGGGACACUGUGUUCUUCUCUAAGUUCCCUGCCCCCCAACCUUCUCCCGUUAAAUCAUGUGAAUCUGUGAGUCCACUGGUGUGCUGCCAAACUGGCUUUCUGAAAAAAAGAAAAAAGCCCCGAUGUGUAGUGCUUGCCAAUUUCCAUGGUGUAAAUACUGCACCGCGGCUGACUUCAAGCUGCCCACGGUGUCACUGCAGGUGGAUCUGGGGAGUGAUGAGCAGAGGGGCUUGCAGACCCGGCCAGCACUGCCUGUACCUGUCUUAGCGGCAGGAGGCCCCGCAGGAGGCCCUAGCAUAGCGGAGCCCACAGGUCACGCAGGCGGUGCCGGUGCCAAAGGACGCCCAGCCUGGGGACCAAAGCACACUGCUGUCUGGGUGGCUGAGGGGAGUCCACACAAAAACAGUUUUCAGGGUUGAGGACAAAGAACCGGAGGAAAGAGAUGUGCCUUUUUUUUUGUCACUCGGCAACUCAACUUGGGGACACAUAAGGUACCACUGAAACACCCUCAGGACACCUCUAACAUUGGGACAAUGGCAGUGGGGGCUUUGUCUUCCCCCAUUCAGUCUCCAAAAGAUCACUCAGUGAACCUGGUUUCCCCACAGCCAAUUUUAAACUGGUAAACUGCUCCGUGUCCCUUGUCCUACUCAUGGGUGGGUGUGGGUGUCUUGGGGUGGCUGAAGGGGACUGCAGCCAGCAAGAAAGAUAAGAUUGUUGCCAGCUUUCCUCAGUCUUUCCCAAGGCAGAAGCAGGUUUGUCACCUUGGGGUAAGAUGCCAGGCAGCAGGUAAAGAACUUAACAGCUUGUGGGAGUUCUAAUUAGAGAGCCAAUUAUAACUCAAUUGACCUGCCUGGCUCGGAAAGACCUGGAAAAACCGCACGUUGUCUUAGGAAGAAGUUGAUUUUGCUUCUCUUUUGUCCUGGGAGGUCGCCACAGGGAGCAUCGGUGCCAGCCCCACGCAUCUGUCUGGAUGCCGCUGCCCUUCGCAGAGGCUGAGAGAAGCCACAGGGACACGCUGCCUGCAGCGGGGGGCUGUCACCCUGCACCCAGGACGGACGCUUCCCGUCUUUACGGAGAGAGGCACAGGCAGCACCAGGCCCCGCAGGCGGCCCUGUGGGGAGCAGGCCCGACCUUUCUGCUUCAUUUGAAAGGACGCCAGCCAGCCUUUCAGUUACAGAUUUAAUCAAGACUGACCUCUUGGCAAGGCCAGACCCCAAGGGGGGUGUGUGCGUGCCCCUGCAAGGUUCCCAGGCUCAAACCCCAGCUCCGGUGGGACCAGCUGCGGAAACGCCGUGCAAACUGCCAGCACCUACGUAUCCUUGUCAGUAACUUUCUCUCCUCUCCGCAGAUGUCGGCGCUCCUUGGGUUCCGCCCGGGCCCUCUCUCUCUUCCUCUCUGUGGGUCACACCCCAGGUGGUCUCAAGGCCUCCCACACCUUCAGCUACCACCUGCAGGCUGCUGCCCCCCAACCACGGCUCCAGCCCCAGACACAGCUCAACUUCCAGACCCCCAGACACACACACCUAGGGCAGCUCUUCCUAAAGGGACCCAGACUUGUGUCUUCCUCCCCACAUCUGGUCAUUGCUGGUGAAGACACCUCACCCUUCCGGGCACCAGAACCAGUGUCUGAGAGUCAGCCUGGAACCUUCCA